GCGAGGUACGCUUACGUAAUCCAC
rnacentral:siRNA from 1 species